rnacentral:pre_miRNA from 1 species
UCAUGAUGAUGAUGAUGAUGAUGAUGACGAUGAUGAUGAUGAUGAUGAUCAUCAUCAUCAUCAUCGUCAUCAUCAUCAUCAUCGUCG